ensembl:snRNA U6 U6 spliceosomal RNA
GCGCUGACUUCGGCAGCAUAUAUGCUAAAACUGGAACAAUACAGACAAGAUUCUCCUGGUCCCUGUACAAAUUCAUGAAGAGUUCCAUAUUUUU